UAAAAAUUUAAUUUAAAAUAUUUAAGUAGUAUUAGUUAAGUUCUUUAAAUUUAAAAAAUUUGGCGGUAUUUUAGUCUAUUCAGAGGAACCUGUUUUUUAAUCGAUAGUCCACGAUGGACCUUACUUAAAUUUGUUUUUAGUUUAUAUAUCGUCGUUAAAAGAAUAUUUUAUAAGAAUAAUAAUUUUCUUAAUUUUUAAUUUUAAAAUAUAUCAGAUCAAGAUGUAGCUUAUGUUUAAGUUUAUAAUGGGUUACAAUUAUUAUAUUAUUGGAAAUUAAUAUGUAAUUUAUUAUUUGAAAUUGGAUUUGAUAGUAAAUUUAUAUAGAUAAAUAGAUUGAUUAUAGCUCUAAAAUAUG
rnacentral:rRNA from 1 species